rnacentral:lncRNA from 1 species
CGGAUGGGGCCACAGUGUCUCCGGACCCCUCCUGUCUCAGCCUGCAGUAAUUAUGCUGCAAUAGUUUGUGUCGGGGGCUAGGAGGACCUGAGCCCUAGGACCAUUCCUCAUGACUACCUGGCCUGAUGACUCCUUGCUGUCCACAGUCCAUCUGGUCGUGCUGCUGCUCCAGUUUCAACUGUUCUGUCUUCGGCUAUGGAACCCUGACCUGUUCACCAGACGUGCUACCAUGUCCUGGAACUGCUGUUUCAGCUCUGUCUCUCUACCGCACCUGCUGUCUCUAACUCUGAAUGAUCGGCUAUGAAAAGCCAACUGACAUUUACUCCUGAGGUGCCGACCUGUUACACCCUCUACAACCACUGUGAUUAUUAUUAUUUGACCCUGCUGGUCAUCUAUGAACGUUUGAACAUCUGGGCCAUGUACUGUUAUAAACUCCACCCGUCACAGCCAGAAGAGGACUGGCCACCCCUCAUAGCCUGGUUCCUCUCCAGGUUUCUUCCUAGGUUCCUGCCUUUCUAGGGAAUUUGUCCAAGUCACCGUGCUUCUACAUCUGC